GGUAGUGGGGGAUAACCUGGGGAAACUCAGGCUAAUACCGCAUACGUCAUACGGGAGAAAGGGGGCUUUGGCUCCCGCUAUCGGAUGAGCCUAUGCCGGAUUAGCUGGUUGGUGAGGUAAAGGCUCACCAAGGCGACGAUCCGUAGCUGGUCUGAGAGGAUGAUCAGCCACAUCGGGACUGAGACACGGCCCCCACUCCUACGGGAGGCAGCAGUGGGGACCGUUGGACAAUGGGGGCAACCCUGAUCCAGCCAUGCCGCGUGUGUGAAGAAGGCCCUCGGGUUGUAAAGCACUUUCAGCGAGGAAGAACGCCUGGUGGUUAAUACCCGCCAGGAAAGACAUCACUCGCAGAAGAAGCACCGGCUAACUCCGUGCCAGCAGCCGCGGUAAUACGGAGGGUGCAAGCGUUAAUCGGAAUUACUGGGCGUAAAGCGCGCGUAGGUGGCUUGAUAAGCCGGUUGUGAAAGCCCCGGGCUCAACCUGGGAACGGCAUCCGGAACUAUGAGGCUAGAGUGCAGGAGAGGAAGGUAGAAUUCCCGGUGUAGCGGUGAAAUGCGUAG
rnacentral:rRNA from 1 species